CCCUACGGGAGGCAGCAGUGGGGAGUAUUGCACAAUGGGGGAAACCCUGAUGCAGCGACGCCGCGUGAGCGAAGAAGUAUUUCGGUAUGUAAAGCUCUAUCAGCAGGGAAGAAAAAUGACGGUACCUGAGUAAGAAGCACCGGCUAAAUACGUGCCAGCAGCCGCGGUAAUACGUAUGGUGCAAGCGUUAUCCGGAUUUACUGGGUGUAAAGGGAGCGUAGACGGUUACGCAAGUCUGGAGUGAAAGGCGGGGGCCCAACCCCCGGACUGCUUUGGAAACUGUAUAACUGGAGUGCAGGAGAGGG
rnacentral:rRNA from 1 species